UUCGGGGAGUGAGUGCUGGUAUGAGUCUGUCAUCCUUCUAGAGGGCCAUGCCUGCUGUUCAUUCAGCUGGGCGUGUGCUAUCUAGAUCUUUUACUUUGAAAAAAUUAGAGUGUUUAAAGCAGGCUUAUGCUGUGAAUACAUUAGCAUGGAAUAAUAAUUUAGGACUUUGGUUCUAUUUUGUUGGUUUCUAGGACUGAAGUAAUGAUUGAUAGGGAUAGUUGGGGGUGCUAGUAUUCCGCGGCCAGAGGUGAAAUUCUUGGAUUUAUGAAAGAUGAACUCCUGCGAAAGCAUUUAUCAAGGAUGUUCUCAUUAAUCAAGAACGAAAGUUAGGGGAUCGAAGACGAUCAGAUACCGUCGUAGUCUUAACCAUAAACUUUGCCGACCAGAGAUCAGGAGACGUUACAUGGAUGACUCCCCUGGCAUCUUGCGAGAAAUCACAAGUCUUUGGGUUCUGGGGGGAGUAUGGUCGCAAGGCUGAAACUUAAAGGAAUUGACGGAAGGGCACCACCAGGAGUGGAGCUUGCGGCUUAAUUUGACUCAACACGGGAAAACUCACCCGGUCCGGACACCGUAAGGAUUGACAGACUGAUAGCUCUCUCUUGAUUCGGUGGUUGGUGGUGCAUGGCCGUUCUUAGUUGGUGGAGUAAUUUGUCUGGUUUAUUCCGAUAACGAGCGAGACUCUAGCCUGCUAAAUAGAACGAGGAUAAACCUUUUCAUAGGUCCUCGAUGCUUCUUAGAGGAAUUAGCGG
rnacentral:rRNA from 1 species